rnacentral:rRNA from 1 species
GACAUCCACAGAAGUUUGCAGAGAUGCGAAUGUGCCUUCGGGAACUGUGAGACAGGUGCUGCAUGGCUGUCGUCAGCUCGUGUUGUGAAAUGGUUGGGUUAACGUCCGCAACGAGCGCAACCCUUUAUCCUUUGUUGCCAGCGAUUCGGUCGGGAACUCAAAGGAGACUGCCGGUGAUAAACCGGAGGAAGGUGGGGAUGACGUCAAGUCAUCAUGGCCCUUACGGCCAGGGCUACACACGUGCUACAAUGGCGCAUACAAAGAGAAGCGACCUCGCGAGAGCAAGCGGACCUCAUAAAGUGCGUCGUAGUCCGGAUCGGAGUCUGCAACUCGACUCCGUGAAGUCGGAAUCGCUAGUAAUCGUAGAUCAGAAUGCUACGGUGAAUACGUUCCCGGGCCUUGUACACACCGCCCGUCACACCAUGGGAGUGGGUUGCAAAAGAAGUAGGUAGCUUAACCUUCGGGAGGGCGCUUACCACUUUGUGAUUCAUGACUGGGGUGAAGUCGUAACAAGGUAAGCGUAGACGU